UACGUAGGGGGCAAGCGUUGUCCGGAUUUAUUGGGCGUAAAGAGCGUGUAGGCGGUUUGGUAGGUCCGCUGUGAAAACUCGAGGCCCAACCUCGAGACGCCGGUGGGAACCAUCAGACUAGAGUCCGGAAGAGGAGAGUGGAAUUCCUGGUGUAGCGGUGAAAUGCGUAGAUAUCAGGAGGAACGCCGGAGGCGAAAGCGAGUGACUGGCGCGUUCCUGACGCUGAGGUGCGAAAGCUAGGGGAGCAAACAGG
rnacentral:rRNA from 1 species